rnacentral:rRNA from 1 species
UGUGUAGGCGGUUCUUUAAGUUUGCUGUGAAAUCUCCCGGCUUAACCGGGAGGGUGCGGUGAAUACUGAGGGACUAGAGUACGGGAGAGGAAAGUGGAAUUCCUGGUGUAGCGGUGAAAUGCGUAGAUAUCAGGAGGAACACCGGUGGUGUAGACGGCUUUCUGGACCGUAACUGACGCUGAGACACAAAAGCGUGGGUAGCAAACA